CUUGGUAAUAUUGGAUGGCGACCGGCGCACGGGUGAGUAACGCGUAUCCAACCUGCCCAUUACCGGGGUAUAGCCCGUCGAAAGGCGGAUUAAUCCCCCAUGCAGUCAGAAUAUGGCAUCAUGAUUUGACGAAAGGUUUAGCGGUAAUGGAUGGGGAUGCGUCCGAUUAGAUAGUUGGCGGGGUAAAGGCCCACCAAGUCGACGAUCGGUAGGGGUUCUGAGAGGAAGGUCCCCCACAUUGGAACUGAGACACGGUCCAAACUCCUACGGGAGGCAGCAGUGAGGAAUAUUGGUCAAUGGACGAGAGUCUGAACCAGCCAAGUAGCGUGCAGGAUGACGGCCCUAUGGGUUGUAAACUGCUUUUAUGCGGGGAUAAAGUGUGGGAUGCGUCCCAUAUUGCAGGUACCGCAAGAAAAAGGACCGGCUAAUUCCGUGCCAGCAGCCGCGGUAAUACGGAAGGUCCGGGCGUUAUCCGGAUUUAUUGGGUUUAAAGGGAGCGUAGGCCGUCGUUUAAGCGUGUUGUGAAAUGCCGCGGCUCAACCGUGGCACUGCAGCGCGAACUGGAUGACUUGAGUUCGCGGGAGGUAGGCGGAAUUCGUGGUGUAUCGGUGAAAUGCUUAGAUAUCACGAAGAACUCCGAUUG
rnacentral:rRNA from 1 species